rnacentral:rRNA from 1 species
GACGAACGCUGGCGGCGUGCUUUAUACAUGCAAGUCGAACGAUGAAGUUCCUUCGGGAAUGGAUUAGUGGCGAACGGGUGAGGAACACGUGAGAAACCUGCCUUUCAUUCUGGGAUAACACCGGGAAACCGGAGCUAAUACCGGAUACUCCGUCUUGGCGGCAUCGCCGAGCCGGGAAAAAAUUUUGAUGAAAGAUGGUCUCGCGGCCUAUCAGCUAGUUGGUGAGGUAAAGGCUCACCAAGGCGACGACGGGUAGCCGGCCUGAGAGGGCGACCGGCCACACUGGGACUGAGACACGGCCCAGGCUCCUACGGGAGGCAGCAGUAGGGAAUAUUGGGCAAUGGGCGCAAGCCUGACCCAGCGACGCCGCGUGAGGGAUGAAGGUCUUCGGAUUGUAAACCUCUUUCAGUAGGGAAGAAGCGAAAGUGACGGUACCUAAAGAAGAAGCACCGGCUAACUAUGUGCCAGCAGCCGCCGUAA